rnacentral:rRNA from 1 species
AGAGUUUGAUCCUGGCUCAGGAUGAACGCUGGCGGCGUGCCUAAUACAUGCAAGUCGAACGAAACUUUCUUAUCACCGAGUGCUUGCACUCACUGAUAAGAAAGUUGAGUGGCGAACGGGUGAGUAACACGUGGGCAACCUGCCCAAAAGAGGGGGAUAACACUUGGAAACAGGUGCUAAUACCGCAUAACCACAGCUACCGCAUGGUAGUUGUGUAAAAGGUGGCUAUGCUACCGCUUUUGGAUGGGCCCGCGGCGCAUUAGCUAGUUGGUGAGGUAAAGGCUUACCAAGGCAAUGAUGCGUAGCCGAACUGAGAGGUUGAUCGGCCACAUUGGGACUGAGACACGGCCCAAACUCCUACGGGAGGCAGCAGUAGGGAAUCUUCCACAAUGGGCGAAAGCCUGAUGGAGCAACGCCGCGUGGGUGAAGAAGGUCUUCGGAUCGUAAAACCCUGUUGUUAGAGAAGAAAGUGCGUGAGAGUAACUGUUCACGUUUCGACGGUAUCUAACCAGAAAGCCACGGCUAACUACGUGCCAGCAGCCGCGGUAAUACGUAGGUGGCAAGCGUUAUCCGGAUUUAUUGGGCGUAAAGGGAACGCAGGCGGUCUUUUAAGUCUGAUGUGAAAGCCUUCGGCUCAACCGAAGUAGUGCAUUGGAAACUGGGAGACUUGAGUGCAGAAGAGGAGAGUGGAACUCCAUGUGUAGCGGUGGAAUGCGUAGAUAUAUGGAAGAACACCAGUGGCGAAAGCGGCUCUCUGGUCUGUAACUGACGCUCAGGUUCGAAAGCGUGGGUAGCAAACAGGAUUAGAUACCCUGGUAGUCCACGCCGUAAACGAUGAAUGCUAAGUGUUGGAGGGUUUCCACCCUUCAGUGCUGCAGCUAACGCAAUAAGCAUUCCGCCUGGGGAGUACGACCGCAAGGUUGAAACUCAAAGGAAUUGACGGGGGCCCGCACAAGCGGUGGAGCAUGUGGUUUAAUUCGAAGCAACGCGAAGAACCUUACCAGGUCUUGACAUCUUCUGACAAUCCUAGAGAUAGGACUUUUCCUUCGGGAACAGAAUGACAGGUGGUGCAUGGUUGUCGUCAGCUCGUGUCGUGAGAUGUUGGGUUAAGUCCCGCAACGAGCGCAACCCUUGUUGUUAGUUGCCAUCAUUAAGUUGGGCACUCUAGCAAGACUGCCGGUGACAAACCGGAGGAAGGUGGGGAUGACGUCAAAUCAUCAUGCCCCUUAUGACCUGGGCUACACACGUGCUACAAUGGACGGUACAACGAGUCGCAAGACCGCGAGGUUUAGCAAAUCUCUUAAAGCCGUUCUCAGUUCGGAUUGUAGGCUGCAACUCGCCUACAUGAAGUCGGAAUCGCUAGUAAUCGCGGAUCAGCAUGCCGCGGUGAAUACGUUCCCGGGCCUUGUACUCACCGCCCGUCA